rnacentral:ncRNA from 1 species
UUUUUUAUUUUAAAUUUAUAUUUUUAUUUUUUAUGGGAGUUUAUAAGUUAAAAAAAGUUUGAUUCUUGCUUUGGAUUUUAUUUUAUAGUAGAUAUAUACAUGUAAGCUUUAGUUUGAUUAUAUAUUUUAGUUUAAUAUUAAUUUGUGUUUGAAUAUGUUCGCAGUAGGUGGUAUUAAUUAUUAAUUAGAGUUAGAAUUAGCAUUCUAUUUUAGAUCUGAUAAAAAUUUGUGCCAGCAGUCGCGGUAAGACUUGGAGAUCUAGUAAAAUUAUAUUAAUUUUUAGUAAAAAUUAUAUUUUAUAUUUGUUUUUUGUGUUAAAGGGUUAAAUCGGUUUAAUGUAAGUAAAAAUAUGUUGUAAAAGGUUUAGAAGCUAAGAAGUCUAUGGAAUAAACUAGGAUUAGAUACCCUAUUAUACAUAGAUAAAAAUUAUAAAGGUUAAUUAGUAUUAGUUAUUUUCUUAAAAUUGAGAGAAUUUGGCGGUUGUUUAGUCUUGUUAGAGGAACCUGUUUUUUAAACGAUAAACCACGAAGUAUCUUACUUAUGUUUGUUUUUAGUUUGUAUACCGUCAUUAUUAGAUGAUUUUUAUAGAAUAAAUUGUUUAAGAUUAAAUUAGUUUAAUAUAUUAGAUCAAGGUGCAGCUUAUACAUAAGUAAAAAUGGGUUACAAUAAAAUUUAUUUAUAAUGGAUUUAUUUUUAAAUAAGAAUAAUGAAGGAGGAUUUAAUUGUAAUAUAAAGUUAAUAAUUUUAUAUGAUAUUAGCUCUAGAUUAUGUACAUAUCGCCCGUCACUUUCGUUUUUAAAUGAUAUAAGUCGUAACAUAGUAGGUGUAUUGGAAAAUGUAUCUAGUGUAUA